UAUUCUGGUGUCCUAGGCGUAGAGGAACCACACCAAUCCAUCCCGAAUUUGGUGGUUAAACUCUACUGCGGUGACGAUACUGUAGGGGAGGUCCUGCGGCAAAAUAGCUCGAUGCCAGAA
rnacentral:rRNA from 1 species